rnacentral:lncRNA from 1 species
GUGGGUGCCCCACAUCCUCUGGACUCUCCGUCGUCCCUGACUUAAGCGUCCAACCUGGGAGUUGGAAAGAAAGACAAUGGCUUUGAACUUCUGCCUUUUCUUUAUUUAAAACUGUCUUCUUCUGGGUCUCAGAGGCCUCCCCUCCUUUCCUCCCCAGAGGCAGUGCAGCUCCUUUGUCACAGCCUCAGUCCCUUCUACCCAGCACCUUGCAUAAACUCUUCCAGGCUGGGCUUCUUAGUAUGUUGAGAAGAGUACAGGAUUGAGAAAAUGAACGUAUGCAUAUAUACAUGUGUGUGUGCAUACAUACACGCAUGUGCUUGUUCACAGGACAUAUUUAUUUAUCCUCUCACAAUCAUAGCUUUUAAAAAUAUUGUCUCAGCAGAGAUGCAAAUAUCUCAUUCUGUCAGAAUCUGAAUAAUGCCUCUUCCUUUAGUUUGCAUUUUAUUUUGACAAUUCUCAUCUUCCUUGUGGCAAAUGACGAUUGCUGGCUGCCUAGGGGAAAGGCCACGUAUACAGUGCAGAAAAGUGAAAGAAAAAAGCACACUAGUUUAAUUAUGCUCUUAAAUGAUCUCUGUUGCACCAAGAUUUGCCUUAAUUCUUCUUGUUUCCUAGAAAUUUGUUGGGAAUGGAAUCCAAGGGGCCUGUAGAAAAGAGCUGAGUCUCCAGGGUGAGCUCCGUGGGGCCUAGGGACAUGGUCAGGAGUGGUCUUCCUGGUUUCCCUACAAACGGAGAGGGUGUCAGAACGCCCUGCAGGGCUGUUUGUCCUCUGUGCGCAGACGUGCCUUAACGGAGACCAACAUCUCUACCUUCAGCAAUAAAAACCGGCCGCGUUCCUCCUGUGAAGCACGAGGGGCACAGGCCCAGCUUUGAAGCCCGGAGCGCGCGCGCCUCUUUCUUCCUCCCCAGCCCCGCGCUCUGACCUGAGGGUGGGCUUCAGGCUCACUUUUUCUGAUGAAGAUCGAAAAAAGAAAAACCAGUGACCUCUCCAGAAACGGAAGAGGGUAGAAAUCAGGAAACUACAGUCCCACUGCCGGCCCGACCUGACUUAUUGUUCGCGUGCCACCAUUUCCAUGCCUGGCGUUCAGGGAAAACGCUCGCAACAGCCCCGGCCUCCAGCCUCCACUGCGGACGGCGCCCUGUUCGACGCGGCACGUGCGUCUCACCGCUUUCCCGCCGCGAGGGCCGCGCGGGGUCGCCUCUCCGGUCCUCGCGCGGACCGUCGUGCGCACCCAGCGCCUGCGCGUCCUGGUGUGCGUGUGGCUGGGCCCCGAGCCUUCGUGCGCGCCCCCUCGUCAGCGGAUCACAGCGCGGGGCCUGGCGCGUGCCCGCC